CCUACGGGUGGCAGCAGUGAGGAAUAUUGGUCAAUGGGCGGAAGCCUGAACCAGCCAAGUAGCGUGCAGGAUGACGGCCCUACGGGUUGUAAACUGCUUUUAUACGGGAAUAACGCGCCUUACGUGUAGGGCUUUGCAUGUACCGUAUGAAUAAGGACCGGCUAAUUCCUUACCAGCAGCCCCGGUAAUACGGAAGGUCCGGGCGUUAUCCGGAUGUAUUGGGUUUAACGGGAUCGUAGGCCGCAUGUCAAGCGUGCUGUGAAAUGUCCGGGCUCCACCCGGGCCUGGCAGCGCGAACUGGCGUGCUUGAGUCCGCGGAAAGCAGGCGGAAUUCGUCGUGUAGCGGUGAAAUGCUUAGAUAUGACGAAGAACCCCGAUUGCGAAGGCAGCUUGCUGCAGCGGAACUGACGCUGAUGCUCGAAAGCGCGGGUAUCGAACAGGAUUAGAUACCCCUGUAGUC
rnacentral:rRNA from 1 species